CGCCAGCCCGGGCCCAGCCAGGAUCCGCCGGGCCCCAGGAGCAGCCCCGGGCCGGGCCGGCUCGGCCAAGCUUCUGCCGCCCUUGGGCUUGGCCCGCAACCAGCGGGCAGGGCCAGGAGAAGCCAUCGGCCCCGGCCGUGCUGCUGCUCUGCUCUGGCCUGGCUGCUGAGAUCCUGGCCCUGCCCCCAGCGCCGCCCAGCCUGACACAGCCCCAGCGCAGCCGCUGCACAAACCUCCAUGGGAAAACAGCUCCGGCCGCAAGGACCCAGCCCGGCCGGGCUCACGCAACCAUCUGCAGGCCCCACCUGAGAUAUUGACUCUUCCCGUGCUUCCAUCCUCCCUCCAGUGAGAGAAAAGGACAAAGUGCAGGCACACACAGGAGCAACGUGAAGACACCCAGAAGGGGGAGAUGACUUGCUCAGCAAAGGCCUCCCUGCUAAAGGAAGCAAAUGGUGAAGUAGCUGUGAUCCCAUGAGAAGUUUGAACAGACAAAGAGAGCAGAGUGAUGAGACCCUGUGCCCUCAGUGAGAGAAGAAGAAGAUCUCUGUUCCCGGAGAUGAAGAGGAUUUCAGAAAUAGAUGAAGAGAACCUUUGCUCUUAAACAGCUCAUCUUUAAACUAAUACCCCAUAAGUUGGCAUGGGCCAUAAACACAGCUGUGGGAAAAGCUGUAAAAAAUGGGAGGGACUUCACGAUUGCAGAUUAUUCCAGGCAGCUGCUAUUCGUGGAAAUGAAAAGCCAUGAGAUAACUGUUUUCUUGUGGAGAAGUCUCCAUAACAUGAACAAGAGGAACUUCUCUCCCUAAGUGGACUGAAGAAAGACUAUUCGAGAGGUGGAAAACUGACAGAAAAUUUUAGGUUUUAUGUCUUUACAUUGUCAGGUUGUAUGGAGAGGAAGUGUUCUUGAAGUUUUGUUCAGAUUCUUAUUACUCUUUCUUUUAGUUACUGUUAAUAAACUUUGAUUUACACCAUUUUAA